AGAGCGAACGCUGGCGGCAUGCUUAACACAUGCAAGUCGCACGGUCAGCAAUGGCAGUGGCGGACGGGUGAGUAACGCGUAGGUAUCUAUCCACGGGUGGGGGACAACGUCGGGAAACUGACGCUAAUACCGCAUGAUACCCGAGGGUCAAAGGCGCAAGUCGCCUGUGGAGGAGCCUGCGUACGAUUAGCUUGUUGGUGGGGUAAAGGCCUACCAAGGCGACGAUCGUUAGCUGGUCUGAGAGGAUGAUCAGCCACAUUGGGACUGAGACACGGCCCAAACUCCUACGGGAGGCAGCAGUGGGGAAUAUUGGACAAUGGGCGAAAGCCUGAUCCAGCAAUGCCGCGUGUGUGAAGAAGGUCUUCGGAUUGUAAAGCACUUUCGGCGGGACGAUGAUGACGGUACCCGCAGAAGAAGCCCCGGCUAACUUCGUGCCAGCAGCCGC
rnacentral:rRNA from 1 species